GCCGGGCGUGGUGGUGCAUGCCUGUAAUCCCAGGUACUCAGGAGGCUGAGGCAGGAGAAUUACUUGAACCCAGGAGGCAAAGGCUGCAGUGAGCUGAGAUCGAGCCACUGCACUCCAGCCUGGGCAACAGAGCAAGACUCUGUCUCAC
ensembl:misc_RNA Metazoa_SRP Metazoan signal recognition particle RNA